rnacentral:rRNA from 1 species
GACGAACGCUGGCGGCGUGCCUAACACAUGCAAGUCGAACGAGGUCCAAGGGAGCUUGCUCCCUGAAGACCUAGUGGCGAACGGGUGAGUAACACGUGAGGAACCUGCCCUGGAGUGGGGAAUAACUCGGGGAAACUCGAGCUAAUACCGCAUACCUUCAGAUGGUCGCAUGGCCGACUGAAGAAAGAAUUUCGCUCCUGGAGGGCCUCGCGGCCUAUCAGCUAGUUGGUGGGGUAACGGCCUACCAAGGCAACGACGGGUAGCUGGUUUGAGAGAACGAUCAGCCACACUGGGACUGAGACACGGCCCAGACUCCUACGGGAGGCAGCAGUGGGGAAUCUUGCGCAAUGGGCGAAAGCCUGACGCAGCAACGCCGCGUGCGGGAUGACGGCCUUCGUGGUUGUAAACCGCUUUCAGCAGGGACGAAAAUGACGGUACCUGCAGAAGAAGCCCCGGCUAACUACGUGCCAGCAGCCGCCGUAAGAC